UCAUUAGGCAUUGUUAAGAGGAUCCAAAAUGCGAGGACACCAAAAUGGGGAUGAAAUGUUACUACGCAGCUCACAUUGUUGAAGUUCCAGCAGAUCCCUCACUGUACAUGUGGUGACAUGAUAGUCUCUGUUGAUCUGGUCAGCCGCCACAUGGAUAGAUCAUGUCCAAGUCAUUAAAUUUUGGCAGCCAACCAAUCAGUUCUACACAAGGAACUACUAAAGCAGCAGGCUACAUUCGACCAGCAAAACAACAGAUGGAUAGUCAGAUUCUCCGUGAUUUUGGUAUAUAGUCCACCCACAGUGAGGCCCACCAUAUCAACUAUCCUAGCUCACACAGAUGCUUGCCAUAUGUACCGUGAGGAAGCUGCAAAGGUCUUCCAUGUUGUUAACUGCAUGAUGGCAUUUCUCAUAGUAUAGACAGAUAAAUCAUUCACCUUUUUGAUUAAAACGGUGUUUUCUUCUGAUAGGAUUCUCUCCUAAAUUCAAUGAAAAAUGUCAGUUAGCAUUUCUAAUCAGCAAAGUACUUGACAAAAUUUUCUUGGAAUGGACCCUACUUGAUUCUAUUGCGAUUUGAGUUUGUAAAAUUGAAACUUCCUUUGUUUGAAUUACCUUUUCUUUUAGUUGCUUAAUCUGCUCCACAUACAGCUGAGACUGAAGGAUAGAGAAACAGCAAGUGCUCAAUGCUCCUCUCCAACUGGUUCUCUAUGUGUUGCAGUUCCUCUAUUGAACAUGAUUCCAAGCUUUCUCCCAAAAGCUUCCUGCGAAGAUCUUCAUACUUCCAGAGCUGCAUGCCAAACAAGCUAUUGUGAGAAUUGCUUCCAAGUGGACAUAACAUUAUCAGACGAGACCUAUGUGCAGGUACUGCAUAGUAGUGUUGAUGUUCGAAAACAUAAACAUGGCAACCUUAAUAUUCCAUGUUCUCAAAUCCAUGGAAGAAAGGGAAUAUUCUAAGUCAUAAUUGUGGUCAAAUAUAUAGAAGGCUUUUAUAGGUUGGGAGCAUUGCAUUUUCAAGUGAACAAAUAUUGAUGAUUUAUUUGAUGUCAAUAGACUUGAAGAUGAAUUGUUUACAUAAAUAUUAUUAGCUUGAAUGGAAAGGCGGAAUAGGAUUCAUGCAGCCGACCCAAUUGGUUAGGAUAAGGCUUAGUUGAUGAGUAAUGAUUAUUAUUAGCUUGCGGUUUUGCUGUACCCGGUAUAAUGAGUCCGUAAAGAAGCCAUCGUCAUAAACAUUAGCAUCUUUUCUAAUUUUCUCUCUAUCAAUAUACUUUCAACCAACUUGUGAGUUAUUAAAUUAUUUUUAUUGGUUAUUAAACUCAAUUUCUAUCUAAAAGGAGAUGGAAGUUUCUUACUUGCACCAAUUUGGUAGCCCAAUGAUCGACGAAUUUCAACAGUAUCAGUGGAUUGUUUGUUCGAGCAAGGAAAGCUA